GCAACUAUCAAGAAGUAUAUCAUGAGCAAAGUCAACUGAUAGAAAGGGAGAGAGUGCUUCAAGAAGAACGUGAUUUAGGAUGCUUCUCGGAGUACAGGAGUGUGUGCUUGCCAAUCAAAGGUCGAUUUAAUUAACAAGAACCAUAUGGAAGACUGAUGGUUGAACUUAAUGUCCUUAGGGUGUGGAAAAAUAUACAAAUGCAAUCUCGAUCACACACCAGUAGCACUAAAGAUUCUGUAUGAGGAGUUUCUAAAGAGGAUUUUCUUAAGUUUUUUUUUCUCUUCUUGCUGAAUUUUUUAUGAGAUUUAGUCUAUGAGACCUACUGAACCCAAAAAUGGUUCUUUGUUUUUUCUUCCCUUCUUAUACCUUAUGUAAUUUGCAGAUCAGGGUCCAUUGUCUUUCAAAGGAAUCCCUUAUUAAGUGGCUCCUGAGGUUCUAAUUUUUUAGGAUCGCUUCUUUAUAUUUUACCAUGUGGUGUUCAUAUGGUUAUUCCAUUCA